CUCGUAGGCGGCUUGUCGCGUCUGCUGUGAAAACCCGAGGCUCAACCUCGGGCCUGCAGUGGGUACGGGCAGGCUAGAGUGCGGUAGGGGAGAUUGGAAUUCCUGGUGUAGCGGUGGAAUGCGCAGAUAUCAGGAGGAACACCGAUGGCGAAGGCAGAUCUCUGGGCCGCUACUGACGCUGAGGAGCGAAAGCAUGGGGAGCGAACAG
rnacentral:rRNA from 1 species